rnacentral:tRNA from 1 species
AGGACUAUCGUCUAAUGGUAGGGCAACGGAUUUGAUUCCGUCAAUGCGGGUUCGAUUCCCGCUAGUCCAG